rnacentral:rRNA from 1 species
GACGAACCGUGCGAACGUUGUUCGGAAUCACUGGGCUUAAAGGGCGCGUAGGCGGGCCUCCAAGUCCGGGGUGAAAUCCUCCAGCCUAACUGGAGAAGAGCCUCGGAGACUGGGGGCCUCGAGGAGGGUAGGGGCAAGCGGAACUAUGGGUGGAGCGGUGAAAUGCAUUGAUAUCCAUAGGAACUCCGGUGGCGAAGGCGGCUUGCUGGACCCUUUCCGACGCUGAGGCGCGAAAGCCAGGGGAGCAAACGGG